CUCCCAUCAUGUGACCUGCGGCGUUCGCGGGCAGGAGGUGGGAGAUUCUCGUGGGAUUGGAGGGGGAGGACUGUGGGGGGAGCAAGAAACACUGGGUGCA